GGAAAAGCGUUGCAAGACACGCACACACGCACACACGCACACACGCACACACGAACGACCACAGAAAGGAAAGAGGUGAGACACCCAGGAGGCAAAAGGAAAGGCUGUGGUGAGGGGACACGCAGCAAUGCUGCGCACGACGCGGCUGCGGCGCAUUGGGGUGCACAUCCCCAGCGCCAAGGAGCUAGAUGAUCAGGUGCUGAUCAACCGGCUACGCAAGUCUCGACCAAAAAGCGUCUUUUCCCUCAAGGCCCUCACGACAGGCCGCGUGCAAGGCUUCGUCGCCGCUGGCGGUAUUGUUCUCGGCACGGCCAUGUUUCUCGGCCCGUGGCUGUGGGAGGAGGUGCAGGAGCUGAUGGGCAGCAGAUACGUACCCCUGGCGCCGUCGCAGAUGCCCCACACCUCGCCAGAGUGGUGGGAGAACGAGUGGCGCAAGAUGAACCCGCUCUGGCGGGCUGGCGAGUCGAUGAGCGACUUCUUCGUCGGCCCCUAUCGUUUUGUGAAGGAGCAGACGGGGCGCGACAUGUCCUCUGCAGCAGAUUUCGUACGCACCUCACCAUCGUCGUCGCUGUCAUCGUUUGGCGCGGCUGGGGAACAGCAGCGUAGCUUCUUGCAUCGACUCAAGCAAGUGUUUCACCGAUCAGCGUCUCUCACCACUUCUACGUGUGUCACUACUGCUUCUAGUGGUGUAGGGGCUGCCAGCAAAGGUGGCCACUCUCGCCGCGCCACCGCUUCGGCUGUGAUGCUGCCGAACCCGCCGCAGAUGCUGGUGCCGCUCUGCGGCGACUCUCCGAUCAUGCGCACCGCGGCACUGCAGGGGUUCGAGGUGGAUGCUGUGGACUCCUCGCAGACCGCCAUCCAGACAGCCGUCGGCCGCACCGAGGAGGGCCUGCCGCAGGAGUUCUACUCAAAGAUUCACCUGCACUGGAAGAACUUCUUUUCGCCUGAGCUGUGGGAGGGGCCGUUGAAGGGAAAGAAGUACGACGUCAUCUACGAGCGUCAGGGCAUGACCUCGCUGAACCGAGAGCAGCGGCCCGACUACGCUUAUCUGCUGAAGCGCGCCAUGAAGGACGAUGGCCUGAUCUACGUUGAGGGUGUCUUCCGCACGGGGCGGGUGAAGGGUAACAAGUUGAUGGGCCCGCCCUACUCCCUGUCGAAGCGGGAGCUGCAGCAGCUCUUCCCCCUCAGCGAGGGCUAUUAUGUGCGGUGCGAGGAGAAGACGGAUGCGAUGCAGCAACUAAGCCGCGAGAAUCGCAUUCUCAAGCGCGUGCCAAAGGAGCUCUACGUGACUCCGUUCAGCUGCGUCGUGUUUCGUGAGUCCACCGUGAAUCUGAGAACACGGACGGAGCCGCUGCAGCACCCCGAGCCACCGACAUUGACUCCCCCACAAGAGGGCUUUGUGUGGUAGUCGCGCUGCGGCCUUAUCUUUUCUUUCGCUACGUUGACCUUCGUGCUCCUGUGUUUACGAGUGCCGUCGCAGCUGCUUUUCCAGCCCUGGCUGUGACGCAGCGAGCCGACCUCUGCACGCGCGUCUCUCUCUACCCCCCACACACGCAUGUACAGGGGAGGAAAAGAGGCGCAAGCGCUUGACAGAGAGACGUGUGCACACACGGACUGGUGCUCCCGUCCUCGCCCCUCUUUCCGGGAUCUCUCUCUCUCCUUACCGCUCAGCUCUUUUCGUCUGUGUGCUGCCGACGGCGCUGUUGAUGACUUGGUUGGUUGCGUGGAUGUAUCACACUCAUGCGUGCCUGUGUAAUGGGAGGUAGGCAGAGGAGUGGGGAAGCGUUUUCUUCUCCACAACGUCUUCCCCUUCUCUCUUUCUCCCUCUUCAGCAAUGCUCGACGUGGUGCCGACAGGAUUCCGUCAAGAGAAUGCACACACGCGUAUCGCGACUGGGACAUCAGCGGCGAGAUGGCACACCGACACGCAUUCACACAUCUGCACUGUGCGUGUCUGUCUGUCUGUACGUGUGUGUGUGUGUGUCAGUGCCUGACGCAUGGAGGGGAGGUCUACCGCAUGUAGCAAGACGUCGGUGCCAUUCAUGCUCUUGUACUAUAUUGCUGGCAUCCUCGUCCCCCAUCCACCUCUCCACCUCGCUCCGUCUCGCUGCAGGUAUCUUGGCGCCCCCACCCCCUCCCUGUCUUCACACCUCCGCAGUCCUGCAGAAGAAGAAAAAAGCCGCUUGAGUGCUCUCGAGUAAGUGCCCCUGCGUGCGUGCGUGUGCGAUCGUCUUUCCGCCGACUCUCUCGCAUCUCUUGGUGUUGCCCCCUCCCUCCCCCUCCAUCUUUCUCCAUCGCCUGUGGUGCGCAUGCGUGUCUGGGGUGCUCGCAUACCUGCUGACCAACACACACGCCCACACGCCCACACAUCUAUCGAUAUAUCUACGUGUGCGUAG
rnacentral:misc_RNA from 1 species